rnacentral:lncRNA from 1 species
CGAAUAAUUCACAUUCGCAAAUAUUCAGUUUUGAUGAGAUUUAGGCAUAAUUUGUUUGCUAAAAGCCACUUGUGAACAUUGAUUAAGUCAUGAUUAAUUUUGGAUUCAAUUUUGGGUACUGCUUCAUCAGAAGCAGCUAGUGGGAGUAAUAUCGCUUGCAAACAUUCUUACUGUUAAUUUCUUAAUACAAUUUGGCAAAUCGUUUAUAUAAAUUAACAAAAUGUCCCAAAAUAGAGCCUUGGGGGACUCCAUAAUCUAUUUUUUGAGGUUUGGAUAGACAUCAUUAACACCUUUGUGUACCAUUUUCUAAAUAUGAGCUAAUAGGAUUUCAGGCGGAUAAUUACAUGCCGUAUAGAAAACAAGUUUUGCAUUAAAAUUUCAUGAUUCACAGUAUCGAAAGCUUUUUUAGAUGAAGGAAAACUGUAAUAUUGAGCAUAUACUAUCAUCCACUAUAUCUCUGUACCAUUCGUUAGUGGAAUAAAGCAUUGCAUCCGCUGUUGAGUCUAAAACCAAACGGAUGCUGGGAAAUCAGGUUAUUGUUUUUUAAGUAAGUAUAAUAAUUGUUUAUAUAUAUAUGAAGGAUUUUUUCAAAGAUUUUGCUAAUUGCUGACAGAAUUGAAGCGCUUGAAUUCUUAACGCUAUUAUAUAAUUGUUACUAAUGUAUUCUGUCCUUAAUGCACUACAUGAUACGUGCACAUGUUUACACAAAAAAUUCCUUCGAUAUUAAAGUCAAACUGACAUCUAGUUUUUUGAACAUUAAACAUUUAUUUAAACACGGUAAAUUCUUCAGUAUAGGUACCAUUUACAAAUCUUACAUCUACUAAACUAAUUUCAAUAUUAAUACUAUAUAAAACACACUGAUUUCCAAGAUAGGCGUGUGGCCGGAAUCCCGAGAAAAGUCGAUUGAUUUCAUUUUUGAAAUGCCUUAAUGAAAUUACUGUACGUGCAGAAUGGGGUAUACUGUAGCAAUAACUACGCUUCAAAUAUAGCCAAUACAUUCAUGGUUUCGGAAAAUUUUAAAGCUUCAUUUCAGCAGUUCGUAAGUUAUAGUCAGUGCCGCGGAAAUAAAAACAAAUUUUACCAAUACUCUGGCGCUAAUUCUUGAUUGUUUUGUACAUCAAUAUAGACUUGUGCUUUUUCCUACGUAAUGAUACUGAGAUUCAUAGAUUGUCCCAAUGCAACUUCUCUAAGAGAAUGCUGGAACUGACAUCGUAACUGGACUUCGUAAUCAUGCAUUCUGGCAGCCCGAUUUUGUAAUUUUUGCAUAUUUUCACAUGAUGUUGUAUUAAAUUCAUCCCAGAACAAGGCUAUACAGUAAUCAAAGUGAGGUUAUAAAUUAUUGCAGUAUAUCUCCAUUGCAGUUUGGAUUGAUAUAAAAGGUCAUAUUCGUUUAGGAGCACCCGCAAGAAUUUUUUUACAUCUCAUAUCAAUAUGCUUGGACCAAGAAAGGUUUUUGUCAACUAGUAGACCUAGUCAUGAUUUAGCUUUGUCAACUUGUUUAAUUAGUGCCAUCUAUAGGUCAAUAUUGAUCGUUGACGGGAUCCAUGCAAUUAUUAUAAAAUCUGUCUUGGCAAUAUUGAGACUUAAUUUGUUUGCUUCUAUAACCAACAUUUCAGAUUUUUUAAUUCUGAAUUGAUUUCAUUUUCAAAUCCGGCCGCACAAUGUAUUAGCCGCAUGCAUAACUAAUAUUUGUAUCAUCGGUGAACAUUUUCAGUGAUGCUUUGACUGACAUAAGUCAGCAUGAUGUGCACGUAUACUGUAGGCCUACGUGCACAUGUUUACACAAAAAAAUUCCUGCGAUACUAAAGUCAAACUGACAUCUAUAGUUGACAUAAAUCAGAACACUUCAUAUUUUCUAUAAAAAUGCACUUUCCUUACGAAUAUUUCGUCAUGUAUAGGUUCAAGCCGAGCAAGAGAUAGGACAAAUUACAACAGCAGCGCAACUUAAAAUGAAGGUGUUGGCGACAGUUCUAGCUUUGACUUUUGUUACAACGCUUUGUGCAGUAAGUACAUAAGUAAUUUUUAACUAGCCAGUCUAACGUAAUGUCCGUGAACUUGUUUUUAAAUAAAGCAAAUAAAGUAAAAUAUAUUUUCUAUUUGAGACGUUUUAUGUUUAUCAUGCAUAUAGCAUGCAUGUAUCAUACCAUUUAAAGUAGGCAUGCACGAGCAAAUAUCAAAUUUUAUACAGUGAAUUUCAAAUUUUAGGACCCAACAAAUUAAAAUAUGUGCAUGCCAACGCAGUCGAAACGGAAUGAGUUUCUAUGACCGCUUAUAUAGCGCGCACGUAUAUAUCUUUCACCUUUGUGACUGGGAUUUUCGAUUCCCGGCUUUUAAAAUAUCCAAGGCCCUUCGUCGGGAUGUUAGUAUAGCGGGGUUGGGGAAUAUUACAUCAGCUUCU